CGAGGGCGGGCGCAGCCUCCUCAGCCCGGCCUCACCGCCCUCAGCAGGGCUGCGCCCCAGGUGCUGGCAGCCAGGUGUGAGAGACGGGGGUGGGGACUGCCUGGCUCACGCAGCGCUGCCAACCUGCCGAAUGGUCUGGCGUCAGGUCUGGCUCCUUGGGCCUCUGGGGCCCCUCCGCACCACGAGGAGAUGGCUCUCAGGUCCUUCUGGUCCUGACAUCAGGCACAAAGCGCCAUUAUUACGAGUUGCAGCAGCCCCACCAGGAGACGCAGCAGGCUUUCAAGGCCCUGAGAGCCCAGUACCCCACAGGGAGUGGCUCCAGCAGGAGCCCCAGAGUCACCCUGAGUCCGGAUCGGAGGCCGGGCAGGAAACCCAGAAAGAGCCUGAAUGUCCGACGGACGGCGCGGCACAGCCGAACAAUGGCACGGACUGCAGCCAUUCAAAUGGCAGCCCCGAUUAUUUCCAUUCACGUCCUCACAGUGCACAGGACCAGGUCGCAGACACUGUCAACAAGAUGCCAUUUUUUGUUUAAAAAAGAAGUCAUAUACACAGGACACACAAAAAUACAGAAGACAGUAUUUCAAAA